UUUCGCUUUUACGGACCCAAAGGCAGUAUUUGGUAUUUCCACCA
rnacentral:tmRNA from 1 species